GAAAUUUAAUUUCGAACUAGAUUAUUCUAGGAUUUGCUUCUUCAAUUACAAGACCAUCACUAGUUUUUCUUUAAGUCACAUAGUUGUAUUUCUUUCCUGAUUCCAGUUCUUGAUUCGGUAUAUCUUUGCUAUAUAUUGUAUAUUUAUGACAUCGUAGCUGCUUCUAUAGCUUAUUUCUGCAGUGUUCAUUUUAUAUUCAAAGCCAAUCAAUUCUUGGUCUCCGGUAUGUUUCACUUCAGCCUUUACUAAUAGGGAUUGGUAAUUUGAAGAUAGAAUUCUGAUGAUGG
rnacentral:lncRNA from 1 species